UACGUAGGUGGCAAGCGUUGUCCGGAUUUACUGGGCGUAAGAGCGCGCAGGCGGUCGUUCAAGUCGCGUGUGAAAGCCCCCGGCUCAACUGGGGAGGGUCACGCGAUACUGAUCGACUCGAAGGCAGGAGAGGGUAGUGGAAUUCCCGGUGUAGUGGUGAAAUGCGUAGAUAUCGGGAGGAACACCAGUGGCGAAGGCGGCUCGCUGGACAUGUAUUGACGCUGAGGUGCGAAAGCGUGGGGAGCAAACAGG
rnacentral:rRNA from 1 species